ACGGUUGCAAGAUAUGGCAUUGGAAGAAUGGGAGGUGUCUGGAUCAGCAAGGUAUGAAACCCCUUCUCCAUUUCAAUUUCCUUCAAUCUAAUUUAAUUACACAUUCAUUUUUGUCUUUUAAAACAUAAAAUUGCAGAUAAGGAGACGUCACUAACCUUUGUUCCCACAUAGCUUUGGUUUGCGGUCACCGUUCCUAUAUUUAUUUGUUAGCUUUGCUUUCUCUUUGUUUUUUUUUCCCUACUUAAGUCUGCUCGAGUCUUUUUCUUCUUUUAUAUGUACUUAAUGUAAUAGUAGAAGCCAAGGCAGG
rnacentral:lncRNA from 1 species